CUGAAUUUCAGUUUGAUUAAACUUCUAAGUGUCUGAAAAGCUGUAGUUAUCCCAUCAAGUAUUCCUUUGUAUAUUGGUCAGCUUUAGUGUAUUCCUUACCUCAUCUCUCUUAAGCCGCCAAAAACUCACAUUCUUCUUUCAUUUUCCAAACACAAUCCAAUUUUCUUCACUUCCAUACCCUAGACCAAAUAUGUCAAACACUUUUGGAAAUCAUUCAUCACCACCAUAAGAAACCACUUCCACACCUUCUACAACACCAAUCCCUAAGAAAAGUAGAGUAAAGAUGAUGUCUCGUAAGAUUGUCACUGAAGGAGAGCAGACCAAGAAAAUAAACAAGCAAUUGAAAGAAAGUAGGGAAGAAGAAUUCGAGAAAUCUGAAGAUUCAUGUAAGUCUUCUACUGAGGGGGAAGAAAGUAGGUAUUCCGAAACGAAAACACUUAUCUUUUAAUUCUAAAGUUAC
rnacentral:lncRNA from 1 species